AUGCUGCACGUCAUGAAUGCUCAGACUCACUUAGUCUCGCUUGCCCGUGUGUUGCCCCGUCACUCUCAUUGUGCUGAUGCCGUUUGGUUGUGCGUGACCGUGUCUGAAGCUGGCGUACAGGUCCUUCAGGCCCUCCCGCUCCCGCUGGAGACGCCUCCGUCUCCACCUCCUCCGGCACCGUCCUCCACCCCUCCCCCACCACCACCACCACCACCACCACAGGUUGCGGCUGCUCCGCCGACGGUCGGACUUCCUGCUCGGGCUCCGGCGCAGACCAGGGUGGAGCCUCGUGGCGUCUCCGUGGAGGAGACGCCAUGCGGGGAGGCCACCCUGGCGCCGGAGCCCGAGAAGAAGAGGAGGAAGACGACGACGACGAAGGGCGACGUGGAGCAGCCGGCAACGCCCGCUCCUGCUCGGGCUGAGACCCGGUUGGCUGAGGGCUGGCGGACAGCCCUCACCGGGGAGGAGCAGGAGCUGAACAGUAGGACCCUCUCGCUGUGGUUCACCCGGACGCAGCGAGAGAAGGAGAGGGCUGUGUUGACUCCAGGCGUUGCAGCAGACGGAGGACGACCACCGGCGGCGGCCGCGGCGACAGCGCCGGGCCCGGCCUCGGCAGCGGCGGUGGAUCGUCCGGCGGCAGCAGCGACGGCGACGUCGGCGGUGCCUCAAGGCCGGGCGACGCCAGCGGCAGCGAGGGGGGCGGCGGUGGCCCCGGCAGCGGCCCCGGCUGUGGCAGCACCGGGGCCCGCUCUGCCGGCGCCCAGACGGCUACUGGCGCCUCGACAGCCCGCCCCCUCGGCUGCUUACCCGGCCUUCCUGCCGACUGCUGCUGCCGCAGCUGCAACUGGACCUUUAAGAGCAGCACAGCCUCUCCUUGUGGACCUCUUACUGCCCCGGCAGAGUGUGUGGGUGCUCCCCGUCCCCGUCCUGACGCUCCCUCGGACACUGCCGGCUCCACACGUCCUCCCUCCGCCGCUGGCCGCCGCACAGCACGCCGGCCCUGAGCUGCCGGUAGCCCUGCCCGCCGCGCAGCACGCCGGCCCUGAGCUGCCUGUACCCCUGCCCGCCGCACAGCACGCCGGCCCUGAGCUGCCUGUACCCCUGCCCGCAGCACAGCACGCCGGCCCUGAGCUGCCGGUAGCCCUCAAAACGGUAGAACGGAGGAGGCUGAACGCCAAGCGGCGGGCGGAGGCACAGCCGGGCACAACAUACUCCUCCCGGGCCGGCGUGCCACAGGUGCAUAAGUGCAGUAAAUGCGGCCAGCCGAGGCGGAGGGAGACCGGACACUCCCGCCACGGCAGAGAAUACUUCUGCUCCGUCGCGGCGGGUCAGAGUGUGGAGGACUGGCUGAGGGAGAAGAGGAGCGGGACCAGGGUGGAGCCCCGCACUGAUGCGCACUCUUGCCGGGGAUGGUGUUGUACAUAGUUCUCUUUUGUAUAUAGUUGUUUUUCUGUUGUGUAUAUAGUUAUUUUGCUGUGUUAGUGUAUAUAGUUGUUUGCUGUAUAUAGUUUUCAUUUUGCAGGGUUAGUGUGUAUAUAGUUCUUUGUUUUGUUGGAUAGCUUCUAAGUUAGUGCAUACACACUGCCUU
ensembl:lncRNA